rnacentral:piRNA from 1 species
UCUCAACACCACCAAGUUUGUAGGACCUGC